UACGGGGGGAGCAAGCGUUGUUCGGAUUUACUGGGCGUAAAGGGCGCGUAGGCGGCGCAACAAGUCACUUGUGAAAUCUCCGGGCUUAACCCGGAGCGGUCAAGUGAUACUGUCGUGCUAGAGUGCGGAAGGGGCUACUGGAAUUCUCGGUGUAGCGGUGAAAUGCGUAGAUAUCGAGAGGAACACCUGCGGCGAAGGCGGGUAGCUGGGCCGACACUGACGCUGAGGAGCGAAAGCGUGGGUAGCAAACAGG
rnacentral:rRNA from 1 species